GGGGAGCUAGAGCUCUGCUGCAUUGGGCUGCUCCCAUACAGAGAGGCUGCAGCAGUGGUCACGCAUCCCUCCACAGCUUGCUGAUUUUGCAAGAGAGGAGGAAGAAGGAUCAUUUUGCGGUCCAGAUGCUGUCAAACACAAGCAACCAGUGGAAGAAAUGGCACAAUGAGCAGACAAGCAUGUGGAAGCAGUUUAUGAAGGAAUAGUUAAACACAGAGCUUUGUCCUGGCCGAUGCUUUGAAUCUCUCAGUAUUUCCUCCCACAAAAAAUUCAAAGGGUGCUACAUACUAAUAUGAGUCAAAGGAGGAGGAUGAUGAGGAUGGACUCUACAAUUUGUGCUUGAAACCACACUGUGCAGCGUGGCCAUAUGUCCCUACCAGCUGGUGCUAAUAGCCAUGUCAUCUUGGUCCCAACACUGAACUCUAACAUGAGAUGGGAAUGCUACUUACCUCUGUUGUAUUACCUGUGUUACUGGUCGUGCGUGAGACUUUGUAAGUAGAAGGACCAUAUCUCACAUUGGGCCCAGAAGUCAUCUGGAAGCUGUUGCAGAGUGGAAGAUCAUCAUUCAGUGAGGUGGUACACUGUACAUGGUCUGUAGCCUACAACUGCUACAUACUUCCUGACAUGAUCAAUCAGAGCUCAGCUUCAUCAGAUGAGGUCAUCAGCUCUCCUGUCUCACCUGGAGAUCUCUCAGACCAGGGCUGUUUGCAUAUCUCAUAGUGUCUAAAGUAGAGAAUGACUUGGCAAUCAUGAUAUCAAGAUGAUCUUAUCAUAAACUUUCCAGUGACUCAACACAAGAAAAUAUUUUUUUGGUAGUAGAGGACAGGAUAACAAGAAGGUUUGAUUUCCUGAGCACUGCUUUAAGAGAUGUUAAUAUCUUCCUGUCCACAAAAACAAACAAAGAACGUUUUGAAUAAUCUGUAGAUUGCAGGUCUGAAAUUUCCUCAUCAGUCUUUUGUCAGUCAAAUGCAGAUUUCUGAAUUACAGAUCUGAGGAUUUCAAUCUAUCUCAAACCUUAAGAAGAAGAUGCUGCAAAACAUGUUCAUACAAUAAAUAAAAUCAUUGAUACAUAUGUGCUACAGAUCAGUGUUUCAUGAUUACUGAUUGUCCCUGAAACCAAAUACCUGUAGCAGAAUGGAAAACUUCCAUGUAGUAAGGAAUCCUUAUUUAAUGAAAGAAAUAAAUGCAUUCACCACUUGAAAUAGUUCUUCUUCUCAUGGCUUUCAAACGACUGUGGCGAGCCAAUCUUUCCAAUUUUCAUUGUAACUAUUGUAAUAAUUAUGAAAAAGACUCUGAACCGUACCAAAAGCAGGCUGAUACCUUCCUUCCUGGGCUGCUGUGUUGCAAGGUGAACAAAGAGAAAGAUGCUCAGCCAGAGAAGAUAGCAAGGCCAGCUUGUAUUGAUAGUUGAGGUUACGUGGUAUUCAGGAAAUGGCAACACUGAGGUCAGGCAUGAAUUCAUUUUAGGAGGAUUUGAGUAUAGCUACUGCUUGCACUUGAAGAUGAAAUCAGAUUUAUUUUUAAAACUGUGAGGGGUAUCUUUCCUUGUAUACAUUGAAUGUUUGAAAUUUGAUUGUUUUUUUUUUUUUCCUGCUUUAGACAUUUGAACAUAGACAAUAACUUAGUUAUUUGUGAACAUCCAAAACAAACAGUAACAUAAACACAACAUUCUAAACCAGUAUCUGCAAAAUGCAUGUCAGAAGCACCAACAGACUUAAUGCAUUUGUUAUAAUGAUCUUUUGUGUACAACACAGUAAAGUGCCUUUGUGUGACCACAGAGGAUAUCUGCUUUCCCUUGUAUUUCAGCUAGGAGUAAUGUUGCAAAACAAGAGUCAAGGUGAGACCAACACUUGGUGCUGAGUUUUCUGGGUUAUUCCUUAAGAAAAGUACUUGUGAAAUAUAGUUUAUGUAGCUAAAAGAAUGAUUUUACUAGUCCAAACAUAAUUAAAAUAAAGACAGAAGGAAAUCCUUGAGGAUACUCACUCUGCUUUGGAGAACCAUGUUAUCGCAACACUUGACUGACCACUUCUGACCUUGUAUUGCAGCUGGUGUAUUUAUUCUGAAAUGUAUUUUCUGUACUAAAGCUUUGUUCCUAUCCUGUCCUUAAUGUGGUUUCUCACCAGGGCCUCAUAAGAAAUAACUCAUUGCCAGGUAUUUCACGAACUCUUGUAUGAACAAGCCUGCACAGAUCGAUAUGUUGCUGCAGUGGUACCAGAAAUUAUUGCUGCUUUUAGCCCAGAGAUAGCUAUGAGACUAAAUCCUGCUUUACAGCAAGCAGAACUUAUUGAUUAAGCUGGGUAUUUCUAAAUGGCAUCAAUUUGUACAGUCAAGCCAUAAUCCAUUUAUGCUAUUUUUUUUUCCUCUGCUUAAUAACCCCGUUGUUCAUAUGUUUGUUUGCUAAUGCAUAGCUCUUCUAAUUUCUGCAUUGUGGUUUACAGACAGUCUCAGUUUCCUGUUUCACUGGAAAACUCAUCAAAUGAUGGAGAACUAACUCUCAGCAGGACUAAUUCUCCUUCUUCUUGUCUUCCUGUGAGGCACCUACUACUUUCAGUUUCAGAGAAAAGAUCCUCACACCUCUGGGUUUCUGGAGAGCAGCAAUUCUGAUGAGCGUUUCAAUACCUGGCCUAUUUUUGGCCAAGUAGUUUUUUCUCCAGCUGUUAUGUGUUGCUCAGUAGUCACUUUGAAGCAUCCACAUUGGGUAUGAUCACUUCAUCAGAACUCAGUUAAGGGAUUAUUUACACAUAGUUCAGCACACAGUCCCAGACAGUUACUGUAAGAUAAUUUGGAUGCCACAGAAUCUGACUGCAAAUUGGUUGUACUAUCAUGAACCAUUUCUAGAGCUUUACAUAUUGAUAUAUGCAAUCAUACUUCCUGAGUCACCUCUCCUGUAAAUGAAAUAUUAUAAUUCAUAUGUUAAGCACAUUUACUUGUUGAGGAUUGCAUUUCCCUAGUGCCUUUUGAGAAGAAACAGAUGAAAUUAGCACAGAAUUUAUAUAUAUAUAUUUAAUUUCAAUAAGCUUUGUAUUUUUCUUGAGAAUAUGUGUUGCAAAUUUUUUUUCUGGCCUUUGAGACAAAUUUCCUGUAUUCCAUGGUUCGGAGUAAUGGUUAUCACAGCCUGAUGUCCUUGUGUAGCGUUGACCUGUGUGGAGGUACCAGCUUCAUAGUGAGAUCCGGCUAUCAGCUCUGCUUGCUGCAGCAGCUGUAUUGCUGGGUUCUUGUGCUCUGACCGAUCUGUUUUUGGAGCUAGCAGCUUCUCUGUCUGAUCAGGUAACUCUGAACUGUUUCCCAGUAUGUGCUAUAGAUGCACCCAAAUUUUCCUCUUGAGAUCAUUGCCCAGCUUCACUGUCUGCUGCUGGAGGCUGUUGUCUUUCUUUCAGUAACAAAGAAGUUUUCACAAAUAUGGUACAGGUUUUUUUUUCUAUUAAAAUGUAAUACUGAAGUCUAAACCAGCUGUAAUUGAUUCCAAGAUUCAUAAGUCAUGCUUUUCUGAACUUCUCAAGAAAUCACUGAGGAAAUGUGAGCGUUGAACUACAAUGUUUUGGUUUCAAUCUACGAGAAAAACUGCAUAACUUAAAUCAUUUAUCCUGGUGAUCACUUCCUUUUUGCAAACAGUUCUUGGUUGGUGUACUUGUUUAGAUAGACAUGAAUACAGAACUUUCUGUAUCGUAGUCUGGCUUGCUAUGUGCUUGAUUUAAUGCAUUACAAAUACUCACCUUGGAAGAUACAGGGAGAUGGGGCCUAACAACUUUCAGGAACAGUUUGGAUCAUUGACUGAAUUCAUGGACUCACAGAUCACUGCCCCAAUGUUAUUUAAGCUGCUCCUCAAACUUAGGCUCUUUGGAAAAAGCCUGCUGUCUGUAACAAUUAUCCUAGACAAAUAUGGUCCUCUGCUCUCUGUGGUUUAUCUUUAUAAAUUUUUGGCAUAAAACUGAAAGAACUCCUACUUGAUUGGAGGAAAUGGUCUCCAGUUGUGCCAGAGGAGGCUUAGAUCGGAUUCCUGCUAUACUACUUAACUAUGGUUAUAGGAUUGCAGGUCCCAGAGUCCCAUUUAGUACACCACGGGAUCUAAGACAGAUAAUUGCUGCUCUCUGUUGCUUGUGUAGCCUUGCAAGGGAUAGGCACAAAGAAGAACAUUUGGAUCCAAAAAUCAUCACGUUCUGAAUAUGGA